rnacentral:rRNA from 1 species
AGGAAUAUUGGUCAAUGGGCGCGAGCCUGAACCAGCCAAGUAGCGUGAAGGAUGAAGGUCCUACGGAUUGUAAACUUCUUUUAUAAGGGAAUAAAGUCACCCACGUGUGGGUGUUUGUAUGUACCUUAUGAAUAAGCAUCGGCUAACUCCGUGCCAGCAGCCGCGGUAAUACGGAGGAUGCGAGCGUUAUCCGGAUUUAUUGGGUUUAAAGGGAGCGUAGACGGGCCGUUAAGUCAGCUGUGAAAGUUUGAGGCUCAACCGUAAAAUUGCAGUUGAUACUGGGUGUCUUGAGUACAGUAGAGGCAGGCGGAAUUCGUGGUGUAGCGGUGAAAUGCUUAGAUAUCACGAAGAACUCCGAUUGCGAAGGCAGCUUGCUGGACUGUAACUGACGCUGAUGCUCGAAAGUGUGGGUAUCAAACAGGAUUAGAUACCCUGGUAGUCCACACAGUAAACGAUGAAUACUCGCUGUUUGCGAUAUACAGUAAGCGGCCAAGCGAAAGCGUUAAGUAUUCCACCUGGGGAGUACGCCGGCAACGGUGAAACUCAAAGGAAUUGACGGGGGCCCGCACAAGCGGAGGAACAUGUGGUUUAAUUCGAUGAUACGCGAGGAACCUUACCCGGGCUUGAAUUGCAACUGAAUGAUGUGGAGACAUGUCAGCCGCAAGGCAGUUGUGAAGGUGCUGCAUGGUUGUCGUCAGCUCGUGCCGUGAGGUGUCGGCUUAAGUGCCAUAACGAGCGCAACCCUUAUCGAUAGUUACCAUCAGGUUAUGCUGGGGACUCUGUCGAGACUGCCGUCGUAAGAUGUGAGGAAGGUGGGGAUGACGUCAAAUCAGCACGGCCCUUACGUCCGGGGCUACACACGUGUUACAAUGGGGGGUACAGAAGGCAGCUACACGGCGACGUGAUGCUAAUCCCGAAAGCCUCUCUCAGUUCGGAUUGGAGUCUGCAACCCGACUCCAUGAAGCUGGAUUCGCUAGUAAUCGCGCAUCAGCCACGGCGCGGUGAAUACGUUCCCG